AAACCUUCAGCCCCCAGCCGACCCUAUCUUCUCCCCUGCCUGCCGACCCUCUCUUCUCCCUCAGCCUUUCCAUGAGUCUCCCUCAGUUUCAGACUCACACCUGGCCGCACAUGGACGCCGUCGACGAGAUCCGUGGCUCGCUCAAGCAGAUGCGGAGAGGCUCGCUGCAACGGUGGCUCGCAGCUCACGAUGAGGCGGUGGCUCGCGAUGAGGCGGUGGGUUCCAGCCGUGGGUUCAGCUGUGGACUAAGGCUCGAUGAAAAAGGGACAAGCAGGGGCUAAGGUCAACAAUGAAGGGAUAUUGAAAGAGCUCUAAUGGCGAGGGCUUGAACGGCGCAGGCGAGGGUCGACUGUGUCUUCAUUGAAGAGGUCGAACAGGUUUAUUUACAUUGAAAAGGAAGAUUGAAGAGGCAGUUUUGUGAGCUGAAAUGCUGGCCCCUGCGGCACUCGAACAUGAAGAGGCAAAACGAAAUAAACAGGAAAAAAUGAUACGGGCUUAUGACCUCUGGGACGACCCUGCUAAAUCCGAUGUGAUUCUUGCCAAGUUAGCUGAUAGUGCCAAAGUGGUUGAUGCCCUUAAGGAUUUAACAUAUAAGGUGAUAAUCUAUGCAUAGGAUUUUUCAUAUUUAUUAUGAAUUAAUACAUAAUUGAUAAUUAACUAUUUUUAGAUGGGUGCACCAUUGGAGUAUGUCAUUGUCUACCUCUUCAUGGAAAUAAUCAUAUUGUAUCCAUUAUAUAAUAGACUGGCAUAGAGAGCUCUUUUUAUAAUGUGCAGGGCUAUAUUGAGAUUUUUUUCUUUGGUGUAAUACUAGACAACAUUAACAGUUGAAGUUUUUAGAAUAAAAAAUAUAUUUCACUAA